rnacentral:rRNA from 1 species
UGGUGUUACUGCGAAGGGGGGACGGAGAAGGCUAUGUUAGCCGGGCGACGGUUGUCCCGGUUUAAGCAUGUAGGCUGGUUGUCCAGGCAAAUCCGGAUAAUCAAGGCUGAGGUGUGAUGACGAGGCACUACGGUGCUGAAGUAACAAAUGCCCUGCUUCCAGGAAAAGCCUCUAAGCAUCAGGUAACAUCAAAUCGUACCCCAAACCGACACAGGUGGUCAGGUAGAGAAUACCAAGGCGCUUGAGAGAACUCGGGUGAAGGAACUAGGCAAAAUGGUGCCGUAACUUCGGGAGAAGGCACGCUGGUGUGUAGGUGAAGUCCCUGCGGAUGGAGCUGAGACCAGUCGAAGAUACCAGCUGGCUGCAACUGUUUAUUAAAAACACAGCACUGUGCAAACACGAAAGUGG